AAUAAAUCAAGGAUUCAAGAAGAAUUGAAGCGCGAACGAUUGAACGACGAAGAUGCAAAGGUCUUUUUCGGG
rnacentral:sRNA from 1 species